rnacentral:lncRNA from 1 species
CAGGAUGAGGCAGCUGCUAUGGAGAGGGAGAUGCUGGAUGUGGACGGGCUGAAUCUGAACUUGAAUAGCCCUUUCACAAACUACUUCACUGGCCAGCCGGAUGACACCGUUUGACGUCGUUGGUCAUGAUUCUCUGCUGCUGCUACUUUACUACUCUAUCUCUACCUUUUACUUUCGUUUACUUUACUUUCGUUGGUUUGUAAUAAUAUUUUGAUGUUGCUUGGAUUUGGCUGGA